CCAUGAGGUUCCACCUUCUUCCCCAGAAGUCCUGUAGCGAGGUCGAGAGGUAUGGCUCGUUGAACUGUGGCUCGAGCUCGACUCCGGCCAUGACUCGAACCAAGGUGGCCACCGUGACCAAAAUGGUCUCGAGUACAAGAUUGAAACAACAUAAUGGUGAACUUAAAGGUGGUGCAAAGGCAACCAGCUCAGGAAGGCCAUGGAUUUCUGCAUGCUUGAUUGAAGGUUUCAAGGACCAAAGAGAAGGUAAUUGAUUGAUUUAAACAUACCAAAGAAGACAAGCAAUAGCUUCUUUUUUCCAAUUCUGGGUCAUGAUAAUAGUUACACGAAACUCAAAUGUAGAUAGAUUUCAAGAAACAACAAGUCUAACACUUGUAUUGUGAAAUUAGAGGUGAAGAACCAGCCUUGAUUAAUAAGUUAAGACUGUGUUCUUAACAUUCAUGAAACAAAAUUCUGAUGAAAUUAGUAACUUGAUUUAUCAGUA